GACGAACGCUGGCGGCGUGCCUAACACAUGCAAGUCGAACGGAACUGUUUUGAAAGAUCUCUUCGGGAUGAAUUUGAUUUAGUUUAGUGGCGGACGGGUGAGUAACGCGUGAGUAACCUGCCUUCAAGAGGGGAAUAACAUUCUGAAAAGAAUGCUAAUACCGCAUGACAUAUCGGAACCACAUGGUUUUGAUAUCAAAGAUUUUAUCGCUUGAAGAUGGACUCGCGUCCGAUUAGUUAGUUGGUGAGGUAACGGCUCACCAAGACCGCGAUCGGUAGCCGGACUGAGAGGUUGAACGGCCACAUUGGGACUGAGACACGGCCCAGACUCCUACGGGAGGCAGCAGUGGGGGAUAUUGCGCAAUGGGGGCAACCCUGACGCAGCAACGCCGCGUGAAGGAUGAAGGUUUUCGGAUUGUAAACUUCUUUUAUUAAGGACGAAAAAUGACGGUACUUAAUGAAUAAGCUCCGGCUAACUACGUG
rnacentral:rRNA from 1 species